rnacentral:rRNA from 1 species
UCCAGACUCCUACGGGAGGCAGCAGUGGGGAAUAUUGGACAAUGGGGGGAACCCUGAUCCAGCGACGCCGCGUGAGUGAAGAAGUAUUUCGGUAUGUAAAGCUCUAUCAGCAGGGAAGAAAGAAAUGACGGUACCUGACUAAGAAGCCCCGGCUAACUACGUGCCAGCAGCCGCGGUAAUACGUAGGGGGCAAGCGUUAUCCGGAUUUACUGGGUGUAAAGGGAGCGCAGACGGCAGUGCAAGUCUGGAGUGAAAGCCCGGGGCCCAACCCCGGGACUGCUCUGGAAACUGUACGGCUAGAGUACGGGAGGGGCAGGCGGAAUUCCUAGUGUAGCGGUGAAAUGCGUAGAUAUUAGGAGGAACACCGGCGGCGAAGGCGGCCUGCUGGACCGAAACUGACGUUGAGGCUCGAAAGCGUGGGGAGCAAACAGGAUUAGAUACCCGGGUAGU